CUCAGACCAAACGCUUGUGCUUCCCGCAGAUAAGGAAGAAGAGAGGAAGAAGAAUCAAAGAACCAAACAAUGGCGAUUUCUACUUUAACUCUCACAUCAUCUCUAUAUACACGUUCCUUCAUACCAAACUCCUCCUCUUCUUCUAUGUCCUCCUCAUUCUCGUGUCUCUGUUCUUCUUCCACCGAUUGCGAGCCCAAAAUCACGAGCCUCGCCGCGAGAAAGCGCGUUUUCGGAAUGGGUUUAGGGUUUUUAGCCGCUUCGAUUCUCUCUCUGACGCCUCUGGACGCAGACGCCACGAGGAUCGAGUACUACGCCACUGUUGGAGAUCCUCUCUGCGAAUACAGCUACGCAAAAUCGGGACUUGGAUUUUGCGAUAUCGAUGUUGGAUUCGGUGACGAAGCUCCUCGUGGCGUACUCGUCAAUAUCCAUUACACGGCGAGGUUUGCAGAUGGAACGUUGUUUGACAGUAGCUAUAAGCGUGCCAGACCACUUACUAUGCGAAUUGGUGUCGGCAAGGUUAUUAGGGGUCUAGAUCAGGGGAUUCUUGGAGGUGAAGGAGUACCUCCUAUGCGAGUAGGGGGAAAGCGUAAACUUCAGAUUCCACCUCGGUUAGCUUAUGGACCAGAGCCUGCAGGAUGCUUUUCUGGUGACUGUAACAUACCUGGCAAUGCAACUUUGCUCUAUGAUAUCAAUUUCGUUGAGAUCUUCCCUGGAAGUAAUACAAGAUGAAGCCAGCUCCAAUUUCGUUCGGUUAGACAACUAUGUAUAUGAUGUAUCAACAGAGCAAUGAAGUUUUCUUAUAGGCUGGUGUUACUUUGAAGAGCAAGAUUCAUACCAGUAUAAUUUGUUGAAUCAGUCCUAAGAAUUGUAUGGUAGGAUGUAUGUAUAGAAAAAAUAUAUGAACAGUAUAUGUUGCGUAGUCGAAUUUUUCUCUCUCUGAGAGUUAGCUUUAUGUGAUAUUUUAC